rnacentral:lncRNA from 1 species
AUGGCUUCAUCAGCACGAGCCAGGCCACAGCCAAGGAAGACAACAGAGACGAAUGGAAAGCCCUGGAAAUACCACAGCCCAGGAAACUGGCGAUGGGGACGCUCGGGUGGCGCCACCGCAGCCCGGCCAGCUCGGAAACCCGCGGCUUGGGCCAGGACAGCUAAGCCCAGGUCCAGAGUCUGGCACUGCGAGCACCCGGACCUCCGCCCACCGCAAGCCUGGCUAUUGCUUUUUUUUUUUCCUUCGUCCGUUCUGUUUUUCUUUCCUUGCUUUAAUGUUACUCGCUUCUUGCACCAUGAAAUGGGGGUUGGGCUGUCGCUCCCCGUCUUCAUGGGGGAACGACACAGGACCCUGCGCUGUUCUUUCGUCUGCUCGGCCCUCCCCGGGUUUGCUGCUGGUUCUUCCCGGGUUGGCUACCGUCCCUUCCACCUCCGUGGAAGGGCAGUUCCCCCUGGCCGCAUUCCCCACUUCCGCAGGGGAGCGGCACACCGCCGGCCGGUUCUCUCGGGGGCUGCACGGGUUCCCUUAGAUGUUCCCCAUAGAUGUUCCUGGUGCAUGCCGUCUCUCUCCUCCUUUAUAGUCCUCCUCCGCCAAUCCCAACUCGGCUGCCCACACGCCGAGUACGCUGCUCUCCUCCAAUCAGGAGCAAGUCCUACAGUUAAUUGGUUGAACUGGAGGCAGCUGUGCGGAAGCUGUUUACUUCUCUCCCAGCGCCAUAUUGUGGGAGAGCAGAUGCAUAGAAUAAGUCUUAAUUCCAGUAACAGUCUAGUCCGGUUUGCUCCCCACAGAUCCCCCUUUUUAUUUUUUAGCGUUGAUACGCGCCUGUCUUCGGUGUCCCGCGGCACACACUCUGCUCUACUUGCUAGAGUUGCCACAGGCUCUUACAAGUCCUAUCAAUCAGGAAAACCGAAUCCGGGUCCUCUCUUCGCCAUUGUGAGGAGGUUUUUAGGCGCUGAUGCGUGCCUGUGUUCGGUGCCCUGCAGCGCAUGCUCUGCUCUGCUAGAACUGCCUGCAGGUGUUUACAAGACCUAUCAGGCAAACCGAAUCCAAGCCUUCUCAUUGCCGUAUUGUGGGGGAGACUUAUUAGUGUUGGUUCGUGCCUAUCUUCGGUGA